rnacentral:lncRNA from 10 species
AUGCAUAGGUGAGAGUGGGCAAUUCCCAUUCUCUAGGCACUCCCUGAUUCAUGGGUGCAAGCCGCUUUGGCACUCAUGGUGGUGCCUGCCAAAGUUGCUGGGUCUCUGGGAUGCAAGGAUGGAAGAGGAAAAGAGGGACACUUCCUUCUCUCUCUCAUGUACCCCGGGUAUCUGCUAGGAAGAGAAGGGAACCAGGGAUGUCUGCUCCCCUCUUUCUAGGUGGGUGGCCAUUCGUCUUCAGUGUGUACCCCUUCCAAAUGCAUCCUGAACUGCUGGGACUUCUUUGAAAAGCACCUUCUUUUCCCUGUCUCCUCCUCAGUCCUCUCUUCAGUUAGGCCAUCAAACUCCAAACAAUCAUGCAACCAGAGCCUCUAAUGAUGGCCCCUUCUGCCAGGAACCUUUAAAUUUCCUCUGAGGGAGCUCUGACUGUUGUUUCUCAACAACUGCACCCCCUGUCAGCAGGAAGCAGUUAAGAUCAUCUUCCUCCUUACCUUGAAUCUACCAGCGGUUACAUGUACUUCUUUAGAGGGGUGAAUGAGAGCCAGGUGGGAGGGGGUCCCUGGAGAAAUUCCAGUCAGUCUGCCCAUUGAGGUGGAGCCUUGGGAAGUUCAUGCCCUUUGCAGUGGGGAGGGGCCUGGCCCCACCUCUUCCUAUGUGGAACCCAGUAUUCAAAUAGCAGCAGGAAGCUCUCUAGCAGGGGACUCUGAAACAGGAGGAUGCCUGUCCCCCCUCCUCCUUUUUUUUCCCUUUUCACCCAAUAAAACCUUGCUUUACUCACCCUUUAAACCAUCUUUGAGCCUAAAUUUUCAUGUCUAUAGGAUAGACAAGAACCCUGUCUUUAGCUAAACUAAGGAAAACUCCUGCAACAAUAUUUACUCAUAACAUUACAACUGUCCUACGUACAACUGGAAAUAUAUCAGUUCCCAACCCAAAU